GACGAACGCUGGCGGCGUGCCUAAUACAUGCAAGUUGAGCGCUGAAGGUUGGUACUUGUACCAACUGGAUGAGCAGCGAACGGGUGAGUAACGCGUGGGGAAUCUGCCUUUGAGCGGGGGACAACAUUUGGAAACGAAUGCUAAUACCGCAUAAAAACUUUAAACACAAGUUUUAAGUUUGAAAGAUGCAAUUGCAUCACUCAAAGAUGAUCCCGCGUUGUAUUAGCUAGUUGGUGAGGUAAAGGCUCAACAAGGCGAUGAUACAUAGCCGACCUGAGAGGGGUAUCGGCCACAAUGGGACCGGGAAACGGGCCCAAACCCUACGGGGAGCAACAAGAGGGGAAUUUCGGCAAAUGACGGAAGUCUGGACGGGCCACGGCGCGGUGAUGGAGGAAGGUUUCGGGUCGUAAAACUCCUUUGGUAGAGAAGAACGUUGGUGAGAGUGGAAAGCCCAUCAAGUGACGGUAACUACCCAGAAAGGGACGGCUAACUACGUG
rnacentral:rRNA from 1 species